UACGUAGGUGGCAAGCGUUGUCCGGAUUUACUGGGCGUAAAGGGCUCGUAGGCGGCCAACUAAGUCAGACGUGAAAUCCCUCGGCUUAACCGGGGAACUGCGUCUGAUACUGGAUGGCUUGAAUCCGGGAGAGGGAUGCGGAAUUCCAGGUGUAGCGGUGAAAUGCGUAGAUAUCUGGAGGAACACCGGUGGCGAAGGCGGCAUCCUGGACCGGCAUUGACGCUGAGGAGCGAAAGCCAGGGGAGCAAACGGG
rnacentral:rRNA from 1 species